rnacentral:tRNA from 1 species
GGGGUUGUGGCUCAGAGGUAGAGUGUUCACCUGGUAUGUGUGAGGCACUGGGUUUGAUCCUCAGCACCACA